rnacentral:lncRNA from 1 species
ACAGGAUUGGCACUAGAGAAAGGGGCCUAAACCAUCGCAGUACCCUUGUUCUUAAAGGAGCGCUCAACAGGACUGUCUCCGGUCAUCUUUUUCGAUGUCCUCUCCUCCUUCCCCCAUUAGGUCUUCGCCCGAUGCCUCCCCGCAAAGCAUCCACGCGGUGAUCCACGACCUCUGCGGCCAGAUCUCAGGCUCCGACCUCACCUCCAGUUUCCCAGCCUC